GUUUCGAUGAAUUCUUUCUCCAAUUCUUCUAAAGUUUUCAUGGUAUCAAGAGCCUAACAAAAUCUUCUGCUACUCGAUCAUUUCUUGCUUCCGCUCUUUCUCUCUCUUGGUUUCUCUUGUCCAUUCUUGCUCUGUCUUCUUCUCUCUUAAUCGAUUCUUGCAAUUUCAAUCAUGGUAACAUCGGGUCAGUUAGCCCUAACUCAAUCCCCAAUUUCUUCCUUGAUUUCUAGUGUUGGUAACACUAUUUCUGUUAAACUAGAUGAUACAAAUUAUGUCACUUGGAACUUUCAAACGGAGCUCUUGCUGCGUGGAAAUAGAAUUCUAGGGUUCAUCAAUGGUUCAUUCAAAUUCCCGCCUCAAUUCUUGGUCACGGAGGAUGGCUUUGUUCUUUUCGACGCAUUCAUGAUUUGGACGAUUCAUGACACAUCACUCAUGACUUUGAUUACUGCGACGUUGUUGCCCUCGGCUAUUUCGUGUGUUAUAGGUUGCUCAACCUCUAACGCCAUGUGGGUCAAUCUUUCGUGAACGAUUUGCAAGUGUUACUAGAGCAAGCAUUUUCCAAUUAAAGAUUGAUCUUCAGAAUAUCAAGAAAGGCUCGGAAACUAUUGAUCAAUAUCUUCAGAAAAUCAAGGAUGUUUGUGAUCAGCUUUCUGCUGUUGGCUUUGAAAUUCCGGAUGAUGAUACUGCCAUUUUGGUUCUCAAAGGCGUACCUUCUGAGUAUAAUACGGUCAAGGUUGUGAUUCGAGGUCGUGAUCAUGGUAUUUCUUUGAAAGAUCUUCGAUCUCAAUUGAAGGUCGAGGAGGCCACAAUUGAGGAUCUACUCACAAUGUUCCAAUCAUGUCUGCUAUGGCUGUCGCGACUCAGAAUUCCUCAUGGGUCUGGUAUGAAUUUUGUUCCUUAUUCCCCUAUGCCUUAUGGGUCUCAUAAUUCUUCCUAUGGAUUUCAAGAUGAAGGCAAAGGGCAAGAUGUUCUAUAAUCAACAUGGCUACUCACGCUUUUAUCCCAAGAAUCAGUCUUAUUCUAAUCCUCCUCAGCAAUUCUCCAAUUCUCCUCCUCAGUUUGGUAAUGGUGCUCAAUGUAUUCUUGGUAAGCCUCAUCAACCUUUUUGAAACAGUUAUGGUCCUCCUGUGCUUAUUUGUCGAAUUUGUCAUAAAAAGGGUCAUAUCGCUGCUACUUGUCGUUUUCGAUCUACAAUUCCAUCUCACUCUGAGGCUGAACCAUGUCAAAUUUGUUUGAAAACAAAUCAUACUGCCAUGACAUGUUUCUAUUGAGAAGUGUUCCUUUUAGUUCCUCACACUCUACUCCAAUGACUGCCAUGGCUGCUCAGGCUUGUUCCUCUUCACCCUCCACUGAGGUUUGGAUUGCUGAUGCUGGUGCAACCAUCCAUAUGACGACUGACUUUGGGAAUCUGUCUGCUCCUACUUCAUAUAUUGGUUCUGAGACCAUUACUGCUGCAAAUGGACCAGGUUUAGCUAUUGCUCAUAUUAGUUAUUCUUCAAUUCCUACUGCUACAAGUUCUUUCCAACUUACCAAUGUUCUGCAUGUGCCCCAGUUAUCACAGAGUUUAUUAUCUGUUCAUCAAUUGUGUGCUGAUAACAAAUGCCAAUGUAUUUUUGAUGAGUUUCGUUUAACCAUACAGGACAAGCGAACAGGGCAAAUUCUUUUCAUGGGCCUCAGUCAUAAUGGUCUCUAUCCUAUGCCUCUUCCUUCUUCUGUACAUACUGCCUUCCUAGGCCAAAAGUGCAUCUGAGCGUUGGCAUUGCAGACUUGGACAUCCUACCAACUCUGUUGUUCAGCUAGCUUUGGACAAAUCUAGUAUAUCCAGUUCUUUUUCUUCCGCUCCUCAUAUGUGUCAACCUUGCUUGAAGGGCAAGUUUACAAAGCUCCCUUUUGUUUUAGCUAAGUCUAAAUCUCGAAUUCCUUUUAAGACUAUUCAUAGUGAUGUAUGGGGCUCGGCUCCUAGUUCCUCUCUUGAAAGUUUCCGAUAUUAUGUUACUUUCAUUGAUGAUUGUACCAGAUAUACAUGGCUUUAUCCAUUGCGAAAUAAAUCAGAAGUAUUUUCCUAUUUUUAAUCUUUUUUUCACUAUGUUUACACUCAAUUCUUUGCUUCUAUUCGAAUCCUACAAACUGAUGGGGAGAGGAAUAUCUUAGCACGGCUUUUCAGCAUUUUUUACUGUCUAAAGGCAUUUUACAUCAAUGAUCUUGUCCCUAUACACCUGAACAGAAUGGUUUGGCAGAAUGUAAGAAUACACAUUUGAUCGAAACCACUGUCAAUUUACUUCAAACAGCCUCAUUAUCUGCCUAGUUUUGGACUCAUGCUUGUACUACAGCCGCAUAUCUCAUUAACGCCUUCCUUGUCAGACCUUGGAUAAUAAAUCUCCCUUUGAAUUAUUAUAUGGCAAAUGUCCUGUUUUGGAUAAUCUCAGAGUGUUUGGUUGUGCUUCCUAUCCCUCACUCAAGCCUUAUGUUCACAACAAGUUGCAGCCUAAGACAACUCAAUGUCUAUUUAUUGGUUAUGCUUUGCAAUACAAAGGCUACAUUUGUUACAAUCUGAGUUCUCACAAGCUGAUUGUAUCUAGGCAUGUCAUUUGUUAUGAAAGUUGUUUUCCUUGGGCACUUGGGGUCUCUUUUAGUCCUUCACCACUUCAAGAACCACUCAGGCCUCUUAAUGUCUAUUAUCCGGCAAUUAGUCCUUUGACA
rnacentral:lncRNA from 1 species